GGAGGGGUAGUGCAAAGUCAGCAUUGUCGCUUCAUUAACGACAGGUAAAGGUUUAACUCCUUUCCCCUCCA
rnacentral:tRNA from 1 species